UAAUCAUUAGUCUUUUAAUUGAAGGCUGGUAUGAACGGUUGGACGAGGUAUAAGCUGUUUCAUAUAAAUUUAUAAUAGAAUUUUAUAUUUUAGUCAAAAAGCUAAAAUAUAUUUAAAAGACGAGAAGACCCUAUAAAUCUUUAUAUUUUGUGUUGUUUAAAUUUUUUGGAAUCGGUUUAUUUUUAUAAUAUAAAAUAUUUUGUUGGGGUGAUAUUAAAAUUUAAUUAACUUUUAAUUAUUUAAAAUCAUUAAUUUAUGAGUUAUUGAUCCAUUAAUAGUGAUUAUAAGAUUAAGUUACUUUAGGGAUAACAGCGUAAUUUUUUUGGAGAGUUCAUAUCGAUAAAAAAGUUUGCGACCUCGAUGUUGGAUUAAGAUAUAAUUUUAGGUGUAGUCGCUUAAAUGUUAAGUCUGUUCGACUUUUAAAUUCUUACAUGAUCUGAGUUCAGACCGGCGUAAGCCAGGUUGGUUUCUAUCUUUAAAUUUUUAUAGUGCCUUAGUACGAAAGGACCAGGCAUUAAAAUAAUAAUAUUUUAUUUAUAGAAUGUGAUUAAUU
rnacentral:rRNA from 1 species